rnacentral:rRNA from 1 species
GCGAAAGUGACUGUACCUGCAGAAGAAGCACCGGCUAACUACGUGCCAGCAGCCGCGGUAAUACGUAGGGUGCAAGCGUUGUCCGGAUUUAUUGGGCGUAAAGAGCUCGUAGGCGGUUUGUCGCGUCGGAUGUGAAAACCCAAUGGCUUAACCUUGGGCCUGCAUUCGAUACGGGCAAACUAGAGUGUGGUAGGGGAGACUGGAACUCCUGGUGUAGCGGUGGAAUGCGCAGAUAUCAGGAAGAACACCGAUGGCGAAGGCAGGUCUCUGGGCCAUAACUGACGCUGAGGAGCGAAAGCGUGGGGAGCGAACAGGAUUAGAUACCCUGGUAGUCCACGCCGUAAACGGUGGGCGCUAGGUGUGGGGAUUGUUUCCACGAUCUCCGUGCCGUAGCUAACGCAUUAAGCGCCCCGCCUGGGGGAGUACGGCCGCAAGGCUAAAACUCAAAGGAAUUGACGGGGGCCCGCACAAGCGGCGGAGCAUGCGGCUUAAUUCGAUGCAACGCGAAGAACCUUACCUGGGCUUGAC